rnacentral:rRNA from 1 species
AACGAACGCUGGCGGCGUGCCUAACACAUGCAAGUCGAACGAGAAAGGGGCUUCGGCUCCGAGUAAAGUGGCGCACGGGUGAGUAACACGUGGGUAACCUGCCUCUAAGAUUGGGAUAACUCGUCGAAAGAUGAGCUAAUACCGAAUAAGACCACAGUUCCCGCGGGAACAGGGGUCAAAGGUAGCCUCUGCUUGCAAGCUAUCACUUAGAGAUGGGCCUGCGCACCAUUAGCUAGUUGGUAGGGUAACGGCCUACCAAGGCAAAGAUGGUUAGCUGGUCUGAGAGGAUGAUCAGCCACACUGGAACUGAGACACGGUCCAGACUACUACGGGAGGCAGCAGUGGGGAAGAUUGCGCAAUGGGCGAAAGCUUGACGCAGCAACGCCGCGGGAGUGAUGAAGGCCUUCGGGUCGUAAAGCUCUGUCGGGAGGAACGAAUGCUCCUGAGGUUAACAGCCUCGGGAGGUGACGGUACCUUCAAAGGAAGCACCGGCUAACUCUGUG